GGAGAAGGCCGGCAGCAGGAGGAGGAGGAGGCAGUAAGGGAAGCAGAGGAGGCCAGGCUCUUGCCAUCCAGGAGAGAGUCCAAGCUACACCUGGACAGGCAGGCCUACCUCUCCUUACCAAACUGCCUGGCAAGCCUGCAGAAUCACAGUGGCCGGGAAUCCAAUAUUCUUAAUAAUCCAGAAGUCUCUGUCUGCAUUCCAGCCCCCUAUUUUGCCACCCCGAGUUGACGACCACGAAACAAGCCUUCCAAGACCCCAUCUUAUCUCAAGAGCUUGUCUCAGGUUUCUUUACGGGGGACGGGGGAGUUGGCUAGCGAGAUACUCUCCCCACUUUGACCCGAAUUAGUGUCCUGCUGGCAGCCUAGUUGCUUCCCCAGGGACCCAAGGGGUUAAACCCAGGCGAGGGGACUCGGUAGGAUUUGCCUCCUAAACGCAUUUUCCAGUUCAUUCCCCAGCACAAUAUGCCUGGGCCGUCCUAGCCUCCGCCCGCCCCCACCCCAUCCGUCAGAAUAGGCCAAUAUGGGCCACCCCAGGGUCGGGCGCGGAGUUAACCCCUCUUCUGCCGGCAGCUCACACCUCGAGGAAAGACACGCGGGACACCCUCGGGGCCUCCCGGGAAAGUGGGUCAUGCGGCCACCUGGCUGGCAUGAAGCCCGUGGAGCUUCCUCCUGGGAGAGCCCUCCGCUUUAGAAGUGGAGUUCCGAGACGGAGCCCAGCCCCGCGCAAGGCCCGGAGUUUGCGAUCCCUAGGCGGCCCGACCUCACCCUCCAGAAAAGGAACCGCAGAGAGAUCACUGCAGAGCUUCCCCCUUGCCAAGGCUGCCGUUGCUCUUGGGACCAGCUGAAUACAACGGGCACCCCACCCCAGCGCUGGUGAUCAGAUGACACCUGACGCCUAGAGAGCAAAGCUCAAGGUUAUCAUGUGGCAUCAUGGACAAGCUGCAAUGCCAGUUCUCCCUGGUUGACUACAGUGGCUCCAUGUUCUUCCUGGUCAUCUCUGUGUUGAGCUCUACUUACAACAUUCCCCAGUUCCAGCCCCAGGAAGGAAACAGUUUUCUAUGUGGCUAAUAUGGGCUCCCUACCUCUCUGUCAUCAGACAGAAUUGAGUCCACCAAUUAAAUCCAUCUGCUUGAAA
rnacentral:lncRNA from 1 species